AUUGAACGCUGGCGGCAGGCCUAACACAUGCAAGUCGAGCGGGGUUUUCGGACCUAGCGGCGGACGGGUGAGUAAUGCGUAGGAAGCUGCCCGAUAGAGGGGGAUACCAGUUGGAAACGACUGUUAAUACCGCAUAAUGUCUACGGACCAAAGUGUGGGACCGUCGGGCCACAUGCUAUCGGUGGCGCCUACGUGGGAUUAGCUAGUUGGGGAGGUAAUGGCUCACCAAGGCGACGAUCUCUAGCUGGUUUGAGAGGAUGAUCAGCCACACUGGAACUGAGACACGGUCCAGACUCCUACGGGAGGCAGCAGUGGGGAAUAUUGGACAAUGGGCGCAAGCCUGAUCCAGCCAUGCCGCGUGUGUGAAGAAGGCCUUCGGGUUGUAAAGCACUUUCAGCGAGGAGGAAGGGUGGUGUGUUAAUAGCACAUCAUUUUGACGUUACUCGCAGAAGAAGCACCGGCUAACUCUGUGCCAGCCGCCGCAGUAAUAC
rnacentral:rRNA from 1 species